AGUGAACGCUGGCGGUAGGCCUAACACAUGCAAGUCGAACGGCAGCACAGUAAGAGCUUGCUCUUACGGGUGGCGAGUGGCGGACGGGUGAGGAAUACAUCGGAAUCUACUUUUUCGUGGGGGAUCACGUAGGGAAACUUACGCUAAUACCGCAUACGACCUACGGGGGAAAGCAGGGGAUCUUCGGACCUUGCGCGAUUGAAUGAGCCGAUGUCGGAUUAGCUAGUUGGCGGGGUAAAGGCCCACCAAGGCGACGAUCCGGAGCUCGUCUGAGAGGAUGAUCAGCCGCCCUGGGACUGAGACCGGGUCCAGGCUCAUUGGGGAGCGACCAGGGGGGAUUCUUGGGCCAUGGGCGCAAGCCUGUUCCAGCCGUGCCGCGUGGUUGAAGAGGGACUUCGGGUGGUAGAGCCCUUUUUUUGGGAAAGAAAACCAUCAGGUUAAUACCCCGCUGUGCUGGCGGUUCCCAAAGAAUAAACACCGGCUAACUUCGUG
rnacentral:rRNA from 1 species